AUUGAACGCUGGCGGCAUGCCUUACACAUGCAAGUCGAACGGUAACAGGUCUUCGGAUGCUGACGAGUGGCGAACGGGUGAGUAAUACUUCGGAACGUGCCUAGUAGUGGGGGAUAACUACUCGAAAGAGUGGCUAAUACCGCAUGAGAUCUACGGAUGAAAGCAGGGGAUCGCAAGACCUUGUGCUACUAGAGCGGCCGAUGGCAGAUUAGGUAGUUGGUGGGAUAAAAGCUUACCAAGCCGACGAUCUGUAGCUGGUCUGAGAGGACGAUCAGCCACACGGGGACUGAGACACGGCCCAGACUCCUACGGGAGGCAGCAGUGGGGAAUUUUGGACAAUGGGCGCAAGCCUGAUCCAGCAAUGCCGCGUGCAGGAUGAAGGCCUUCGGGUUGUAAACUGCUUUUGUACGGAACGAAAAGCCCUGGGUUAAUACCCUGGGGUCAUGACGGUACCGUAAGAAUAAGCACCGGCUAACUACGUGCCAGCCGCCGCCGUAAAAC
rnacentral:rRNA from 1 species